CCCCUGUUGUCCACCAAUUCUCCAAAACCUCUGUUUGGCUAGAUUUCCUGUUAAAUCCGGGGGACUUUAUCGGAUAGUGCAUGUAGUCAAGAUGCUGCUGCCGUGCACAAUUGUUAUGUAACAUUCACCACUUUAUAUUUAUUCCGUGGGUGGGGGGACAUUUUAGUUUGAACACAUGGAAGUCAGAGACAUGCAGACACACAGAGCUGCGUCUCUGCGGGAGUCCGAGUUGAGGCUCAGCUUGAUUUAAUUUGGAUUGACACUUUCCCCCAAGGCGAAAGUCACCCAUUUCCUCAACCUGUGACUACUUUUAUAUAAAGUGACCAGACCCAGAGUUUAAGAGCUCAGACCUUUCUAGUGAAUCUUGUCCAGCCAAGCACCAGCAAACAUGAUUAUCAGACUGGGACGCCUGACUCCUGGAUACUUCCGUCUCCUGCAGAGGCAGGUAGCCGGUGAGGUUCAGUCCCAGCCUCAAGACCGCUCCCUUAAUCAGAUUGCCAUGAUGCUGGCUAUUAUGGGUCUUAGCCUGUCCUACUACAGCGCCAAACAGAUGACGGAGAAGGUGCAGCGCAGCCCCGUGCCCUGAACACCUUGGAUUCCGCUGAAUCCUGAAGAAUGGAAUGGAAGCCAAAUCGGAGAUGGACGUUAUCCAGCACUCUUUAUACACUACAACACAAUGAGCCUGGAUGUUCUGGGUUCAAUUAGCACGAGAGGGUUUUUAAUGAGCAAUGUCAACAACAAAAGCGUUCAGAUGUGACCUGGUUCUUGAUGGUUGCGCUGAUACGUUCGUCAGGGUCCCUUAAUACCGCUGAGGCCAAAGUUUUUAGCUCAUAAUGAUGAAUGUUUAAACAGGAGGAGCUGGUACUUUGGCAUAGAAUCAGUGGGAAACCCUUUGCCUUAUGUGUCAAACAACUAUUGGUAGCAGAUCACUGAUAUUUUUAAGGCUGCCUAUACAGAGACACGAUGACGCCGGGAGAGCAGUUACCAAACUACGGUACUGUCUAAAAUAAAAAAGGUCUGUCUGGUGUUAGAUUUCUUUUACUGUUUAAGUAGCCAUGUUUGUCGAAAUUUAUGAGCUUAAAAGGGACGCUAACAAAAGCAUGUGUGGGAAGAGUUUAAAGAAUCCGAUAUGUGAUUUAUGAUAUUACUUAUGAAUGUUUUUUUUUUUUUUUUAAAAACUUGACUAAAUAAAGCUGUGAACUUUUUUGAACAAGUUACGGACAUGCUGGCCGGAAAGGGAAGAAAUAUGGUUCUCGGCCUUCCCUAGGGGGAAGGCUUUACUGUAUAUUUGCAAAGCACAUGAUGUGACAUUCCUGGGAUAUUUAAUAACCUAGGAUGUUAAAUAAACAUAUUAAAUCUGUUGCUUUACUUGAAAAUCCCCAGACUGGCCCAUUUGACAGGAAGUGGGUUAAAAGAUUUUUUUUUUUGGCUGGUCAGAUGUUCUUUGAUGCAGUUCAGUUUACUGUAGGUAAAAUGAAUCAGCUGAAAGACUUCUGUUUCACAUAAGAUCUGGCUCAGCAAAAAUCAUUUCCUGUAUCCCUGCAGAAGCAUGCCAUCUGUUACACAGGAAGUGGUCAUGUGUUAACUUCCUCUGUAUGCUGGUUUAGUUGUAAUGUAGCACCUAAAUGGUGUGCAGGAUUAGUGCUGGGGUACCUGUAGGGAAAACUCCAGCCUAAGGUGAUGACCAGAGGUUCGGUCCAAACUCUGCAGCAGUGUACAGUCUCCACAGUCCGGAAAUGUCCGGCAUGAGUGUUUUCAAGUUUUCAUUCCAACCAAGCAGAAGACACACCUGGGUCUAUUCAAAGCCAAGAUAAAACAGGUGGAAUCAGGUGUGGCUUUUUGACUGGAAUGCAAACCUGCAACCACACCGGCCAUUUGUGGAUAAGAUUGGACAAUUUUCCCUUUUCUGUUGAAUUAACUGCUGCGUUGUCCAUUAUUAUCCACCGAAAGCUAAAGUGCUUACAGGUUUUUGCUCCAAACAUGCACCUGAGUGUCCAGUCCAGGAGUUUCCGAUCUUGUGGGUGUAGUUUCUGCUUGGUUGGAAUGAAACCCUGCCUCACACCGACCCUUUCUGUAUAAGAUUGUACACUCCUGUGAUAGUGGAUUAAAGGUUAAGUUCACCAUGGAUAUCCAUUCUUAUCCACAAAGGGCUGGUGCAGGUUUUCAUUCCAAUCAAGCAGGAGCCACACCUGAUUCCACAUGUUUAAUCAACUGAUUUUGGCUUACAAUAGACUCGGGUGUGGCUUCUGCUUGGUUGGAAUGAAAACCUGCACCUACACUGGCCCUUUCCGGAUAAGAUUGGACCCGUGUGCUACAUAGUUGUUUGUCAUGUUUGUUUGGAAUGAAAACCUGCACUGACCUCUGCAGAACCAAGGCUUUUUGUCAAGCACCUUCAGUGACUACUUACUGGUGUGAGCUCAGGGUUACAUUGGAUCAGUGAUUAAUUUACUGAAAGAUAUUUGCAGUACAUGAAGCCUUGAAUGUGGCCCCAGUAUAGUUUGUAUAAGAACUGAAGGUUUAUUUUGCAAGCUGUUUGGUCAGUGAGCUCAUCUAGUGUGGGACACAAAGCCUUUAAAAUAUUUUUAAUUUCCUCUCUGCUUCGGUUGACUAUAUAGCUGGAUCAUACUAGGACAUAGAUGAUUUGUCCCUGGUGAAGAUUUUGUUUAUGCUGCUGGCUAUUUUGCUCCCUCCCUUUCUGUGCUGAUUCACUUGUGGAAGAUGUGAUGCAGCCUGAUGGCGCAGAAGACUGUCUGGUUAAAUGUGAACCGUUCCGACCAGUACGCAUCACUGGGCAAUUCGACCAAAAAAAAAAAAACAGUCUGGAAAGCCAAGUUCAGGCCACGAGAGCUGGGCUCUCAUUGGCUGGUGUGCCAGGAAGUCUGAGCCAUAGAGACAAAGCGAAGAGAUCACGCUAUAGAGAUAUGGAAGAGAUACAGACAGUAAAACGUCUGUUUUUAAGAUAACAAAUGGUUGAGUUAAAAAGGUUGUUGUUCAGCAGUUUACCGUGUCAGUCUAGAUAACUGAAUUAAUCUGAGCUUGAAGUAUAUGAUGAUAAAAUAGUUCAUGCUGUGUAUCACUAUAUAUACGGUUUAACCCUUCAACAGUGGUAAUGUCCUGAUGUUUCAACACCACAAUUCAAAGCACCGUUUCGAGUUAAGUAAAGUAUUCUUUAUCUGUUUGCAUUCUUGGAAGACUUCUUAUUUUGUGGUUUACAAUUAUCAAUUACAAUAUCAGUAACUUUUUAUAGUCUGCCGUUGCAGCUACAACUUUGAAAUAAAAUGUUUGUGAAUGGAGCUGAGUUUCGUCC